UUAUGAUGAUACAUCAGCUGGCACCAGUCAUAGAGCGAACUUGUACUCUUUUCUUUGAUGAAAAUGCUUUGGCUUCGGCCUUCUUCUGAA
rfam:Pseudogymnoascus pannorum VKM F-3808 contig_307, whole genome shotgun sequence.